rnacentral:rRNA from 1 species
UAGGGAAUCUUCCACAAUGGACGCAAGUCUGAUGGCGCAACGCCGCGUGAGUGAAGAAGGUUUUCGGAUCGUAAAGCUCUGUUGUUGGUGAAGAAGGAUAGAGGCAGUAACUGGUCUUUAUUUGACGGUAAUCAACCAGAAAGUCACGGCUAACUACGUGCCAGCAGCCGCGGUAAUACGUAGGUGGCAAGCGUUGUCCGGAUUUAAUGGGCGUAAAGCGAGCGCAGGCGGAAUGAUAAGUCUGAUGUGAAAGCCCACGGCUCAACCGUGGAACUGCAUCGGAAACUGACAUUCUUGAGUGCAGAAGAGGAGAGUGGAAUUCCAUGUGUAGCGGUGGAAUGCGUAGAUAUAUGGAAGAACACCAGUGGCGAAGGCGGCUCUCUGGUCUGCAACUGACGCUGAGGCUCGAAAGCAUGGGUAGCGAACAGG